AGGGAUGUAGCGCAACUUGGUAGCGUGUUUGUUUUGGGUACAAAAUGUCGUAAGUUCAAAUACUGGCAUCCCUA
rnacentral:tRNA from 1 species